rnacentral:lncRNA from 1 species
UGUGAACCAAGAAAACAUAAAAAAAACUUAGAACCGAUGGAUGUUUUUUUUUUGUCUUGUAAUGAUAGUGGAAGUUAUAAAUCCUUAGGUGUAAAGACAUUAAAAAAAAAAAUCUGUAGAUAAAAACCAACCUAAUCUUUCAUUGUCUAAUUUAAUCUGUCAGAUCUCAAAAAGAGCCUUAGAUCGAUCUGAAAAAUAUAAUUAUUU